rnacentral:lncRNA from 1 species
UUCAGAGAAAUGAGCAAACCCCAUCAUCGGGUUGGUACUUGGAACGCUAGCAUCUUGAGAAUACUUCUUGAAAAAUUCAUCAAAACCUUUCUCCAUUGCUUGAAAUUGAGAUGAAAUUUAGAGAGAGUGUAGAGAAAUUGUAGAGAGAUUGUAGAAAAUGUGAAAAAGAAUGUGAGAAAGGUGUAGUAUUUAUAGAAGAAAAAAGAAAAAAAAUGAAAUUCUGCAACGGUAAAAAAAGGAAAAAAAGAAACGAAAAAAUAAUAAUUUUGACCAUCGUCAAACGGUACAAUUCAAAUUUAUAUAUAUAUUUUUUUAAAUCCC